AGAGUUUGAUCCUGGCUCAGAACGAACGCUGGCGGCAGGCCUAACACAUGCAAGUCGAACGCCCUAGCAAUAGGGAGUGGCAGACGGGUGAGUAACACGUGGGAACCUUCCCUAUAGUACGGAAUAGCCCAGGGAAACUUGGAGUAAUACCGUAUACGCCCGAGAGGGGAAAGAUUUAUCGCUAUAGGAUGGGCCCGCGUCGGAUUAGCUAGUUGGUGAGGUAAUGGCUCACCAAGGCAACGAUCCGUAGCUGGUUUGAGAGAAUGACCAGCCACACUGGGACUGAGACACGGCCCAGACUCCUACGGGAGGCAGCAGUGGGGAAUCUUGGACAAUGGGCGCAAGCCUGAUCCAGCCAUGCCGCGUGAGUGAUGAAGGCCUUAGGGUUGUAAAGCUCUUUUGCCGGGGACGAUAAUGACGGUACCCGGAGAAUAGACCGAAUGGCCU
rnacentral:rRNA from 1 species